CCCUUAGAUGUCCUGGGCUGCACGCGCGCUACACUGAUGUGUCCAGUAAGCACCUAACCUCUUCCGAAAGGAACGGGUAACCUUUGCAAAGCACAUCGUGAUGGGGAUAGAUUAUUGCAAUUAUUAGUCUUGAACGAGGAAUUCCUAGUAAGCACAAGUCAUCAGCUUGUGUUGAUUACGUCCCUGCCCUUUGUACACACCGCCCGUCGCUCCUACCGAUUGAAUGUUCCGGUGAGCUCUUCGGACUGCGCGGUCUGCAGUUUCUGCGUUCCGUGCGGAAAGUUGCGCAAACCUUAACAUUUAGAGGAUGGAGAAGUCGUAACA
rnacentral:rRNA from 1 species